rnacentral:rRNA from 1 species
GACGAACGCUGGCGGCGUGCCUAAUACAUGCAAGUUGAGCGCUGAAGGUUGGUACUUGUACCAACUGGAUGAGCAGCGAACGGGUGAGUAACGCGUGGGGAAUCUGCCUUUGAGCGGGGGACAACAUUUGGAAACGAAUGCUAAUACCGCAUAAAAACUUUAAACACAAGUUUCAAGUUUGAAAGAUGCAAUUGCAUCACUCAAAGAUGAUCCCGCGUUGUAUUAGCUAGUUGGGGAGGUAAAGGCUAACCAAGGCGAUGAUACAUAGCCGGCCUGAGAGGGUGAUCGGCCACAUUGGAACUGAGACACGGCCCAGACCCCUACGGGAGGCAGCAGUAGGGAAUCUUCGGCAAUGGGCGAAGUCUGAACGAAGAAAGCCGGGGGAGUUGAGAAGGUUUUCGGAUCGUAAAACUCUGUUGGUAGAGAAGGACGAUGGGGAGAGUGGAAAGCUCAUGAAGUGACGGUAACUACCCAGAAAGGGACGGCUAACUACGUG